UGGCCGAGUAGCCGAAGAGGACGGUCCUCGCUCUGGGAUUGGUCGGCUAAGCUGCGUCUGCUUGGCAAAAGAGUCACGAAGCGGUCAGCGCUGGGUCGCGGCCCGGCGUGAAGAGACUUCCGUGUCGAGGCCCGGCGGGACGCCUGGGCUAAGCGGGCGGGCUCAGGGCCGCCGGACCAGCGCCGCCGGGUGGUGGUGGGGCGCCUGCGCGCCGGAGAGCAGAGGGACGACCUUGUGAGGAGGACGCCCUCUCCUCCUGGUUGGGGUAUGGACGUUUUUGAGGACCAUUGUUUUGACAUUUACACUGAUGAAAGAUGCUCUGAGCAUGAAGC